AGCUGGAAUCCUCUCAUGUCAAACACAUCACUGUACCCAGGUUUGCAAAGUGGCUCAGCAGGUGCUGGGGCAGCAAUCGUAGCUGCCUGUCACCCCAUUCCCUUUUCCAUGGGAACCCCUGUUCUGAACCAAGAAAACUGCCAUCCUCGAGUACUGGGAGAGAGGAGACAGAAGAGUGGGCAGAGAGGGCCAGGCCUUUUCUCCACCCUCCCCUCUAAAAUUCUGCAGUGAUCUCUCAGUUAGCCCUAGUGAUCUAUUUCACUGAAUGAUUUAUUUCCUCACAACAACCUGUAUGCCUUUGUGUUCUCCACCAGGAACCAAUUUGCUGAGAGGAUGAGACCGAGUGUCACAGGCUGAUCAAACAGGUCAACUUUGACUCGAGAGAAAAUAAGUUCUAUCGGCACUGCCUCCCCCAGCAGACUGUACACAAUCACAUGCUGCAGAACGAUGUUUUGGACAAUGAUGAACCGGAUACACGACAGUGGUCUCCUAAGAUGAUCAUGGAGCUGAAAACUUCAUCGAGAGCUGUCAUAACACCACAGUGCAAUUACUCUAUUUUUAAAAUAAAUGUACUGCAGCCUCAGUGUGCCAUGUUGAUAAAGUCUGCAGUCAUGUACAGCAAUGUCCUAGGCCUUCACAUUCACUCAGCGCUCACUCACUGACUCACCCAGAGCAGCUUCCAGUCCUGCAAGCUCCGUUCAUGCUCUUUCCUAUGGGUUUUUCCUGAUCAGACUCUGCUAUUUGAAAGGGAUCUGGAAAGAAGUGAGCCAAGCUCACCUUUGUGAAGA
rnacentral:lncRNA from 1 species